UGCAUUUACUUUAGUAAUAUAGUUGUCUUAGUGAAGUUAGUGACCUGUAAUCACUCCUGUGUGUGCAUCAUCGUCCUAUCUUGUAUAGGAGCUCUAGCUAGCUGCAACUAGUUAGCGUUGUAGGAUUAAGUGUGAGCGUGGUGCUCAUACUUAAGAUUACCUUUGAUUACCGCUGGCUUGAACGGAAAGUAGGAGCGCACUCCCUAGUAGGUGACAGAUCGUGGGCGGCAUUAGGUUCUCCUCACGUACAGGCUAGUUCUUAAAAGGUAAGGCGUCCAUAAGCCCAAUAGUCGCUUUCGGUAAGGGGUUAGGUGAAAAACCUUCUAAGCGUCUUACCAGC
rnacentral:lncRNA from 1 species